rnacentral:tRNA from 1 species
GCCUGGCUGGCUUGGUUGGAAGAGCAUGUGACUUGUCAUCUCAGGGUUGUGGGUUCAAGCCCCACAUUGGGUA